rnacentral:rRNA from 1 species
AGUGAACGCUGGCGGUAGGCCUAACACAUGCAAGUCGAACGGCAGCACAGUAAGAGCUUGCUCUUACGGGUGGCGAGUGGCGGACGGGUGAGGAAUACAUCGGAAUCUACUUUUUCGUGGGGGCUAACGUAGGGAAACUUACGCUAAUACCGCAUACGACCUACGGGUGAAAGCAGGGGAUCUUCGGACCUUGCGCGAUUGAAUGAGCCGAUGUCGGAUUAGCUAGUUGGCGGGGUAAAGGCCCACCAAGGCGACGAUCCGUAGCUGGUCUGAGAGGAUGAUCAGCCACACUGGAACUGAGACACGGUCCAGACUCCUACGGGAGGCAGCAGUGGGGAAUAUUGGACAAUGGGCGCAAGCCUGAUCCAGCCAUACCGCGUGGGUGAGGAAGGCCUUCGGGUUGUAAAGCCCUUUUGUUGGGAAAGAAAAGCAGCAGGUUAAUACCCCGCUGUUCUGACGGUACCCAAAGAAUAAGCACCGGCUAACUUCGUG